UACGUAGGGGGCAAGCGUUGUCCGGAAUCAUUGGGCGUAAAGCGCGUGUAGGCGGCUCGGUAAGUCCGCUCUGAAAGCCCGGGGCUCAACCCCGGGAGGCGGGUGGAUACUGCUGAGCUCGAGUCCGGAAGAGGAGUGUGGAAUUCCUGGUGUAGCGGUGGAAUGCGCAGAUAUCAGGAGGAACACCAAUAGCGAAGGCAGCUCGCUGGGACGUUACUGACACUGAGGCGCGAAAGCGUGGGGAGCGAACAGG
rnacentral:rRNA from 1 species